GAUGAACGCUGGCGGCGUGCCUAAUACAUGCCAGUCGAGCGAACGGACGAGAAGCUUGCUUCUCUUAUGUUAGCGGCGGACGGGUGAGUAACACGUGGCUAACCUACCUAUAAGACUGGGAUAACUUCGGGAAACCUGAGCUAAUACCCGAUCAUAUUUUGAACCGCAUGGUUCAACAGUGAAAGACGUUCUUGCUGUCACUUAUAGAUGGAUCCUCGCUGCAUUAGCUAGUUGGUAAGGUAACGGCUUACCAAGGCAACGAUGCGUAGCCGACCUGAGAGGGUGAUCGGCCACACUGGAACUGAGACACGGUCCAGACUCCUACGGGAGGCAGCAGUAGGGAAUCUUCCGCAAUGGGCGAAAGCCUGACGGAGCAACGCCGCGUGAGUGAUGAAGGUCUUCGGAUCGUAAAACUCUGUUAGUAGGGAAGAACAUAUGUGUAAGUAACUGUGCACGUCUUGACGGUACCUAAUGAGAAAGCCACGGCUAACUACGUG
rnacentral:rRNA from 1 species